rnacentral:rRNA from 1 species
CAGCACCUCAAGUGGUCAGGAUGAUUAUUGGGCCUAAAGCAUCCGUAGCCGGCGCUGUAAGUUUUCGGUUAAAUCUGUACGCUCAACGUACAGGCUGCCGGGAAUACUGCAGCGCUAGGGAGUGGGAGAGGCAGACGGUACUCGGUAGGAAGGGGUAAAAUCCUUUGAUCUAUUGAUGACCACCUGUGGCGAAGGCGGUCUACCAGAACACGUCCGACGGUGAGGGAUGAAAGCUGGGGGAGCAAACCGGAUUAGAUACCCGCGUAGUCC